rnacentral:rRNA from 1 species
UUAAGCAUAUCAAUAAGNCGGAGGAA